ACACACUUAACUCAGUGGUUAGAGAAUCACUUUAAUACAACAAGAGACAUUGGUUCAAAUCCAAUAGUAGGUG
rnacentral:tRNA from 1 species